CUUGCGGAGAAUCCAACAUAUCUGCCGCACCUCUUCUGGAGAAGGUACCGAAUGCGCCGAUCCCUCUUUGUGAAAAUUGUUCAAGCUUGCGAGGCAAAUUGUCAGUAUUUUACUCAAAGAAGAAAUGCUGCGGGUUUGAAGGGAUUUAGUGCAUAUCAAAAAAUCUCGGCAGCUAUGCGGGUGAUUGCAUAUGGCGUUCCGGCUGACUAUGCCGAUGAGUACCUUCGCAUUGGUGAAGAUACCACAAUUGAGUCAGUGCAUAGAUUUGCCAAAGUGAUCAUCCGUGUCUUUGGUCCUGAAUAUCUUCAGGCACCCAACGAGGAUGACACAAAGAAAUUGAUGGCAUCUAAUUGUUGGGGAACGCGGUAA
rnacentral:rRNA from 1 species